rnacentral:tRNA from 1 species
AGCAGCAUGGCCUAGCGGAUAGAGCAUGGGCCCAGGAGUUAGAAAAACCUGGGUUCAAAUCCCAGUACUGCUG